GCUACAGGCUUAACACAUGCAAGUCGAGGGGUAGCAGGGUAGCAAUACCGCUGACGACCGGCGCACGGGUGAGUAACACGUAUCCAACCUUCCCAUGACUCGGGGAUAGCCUUUCGAAAGAAAGAUUAAUACCCGAUGGUACUUUUUUAAGGCAUCUUGAAAAAGUUAAAGAUUUAUCGGUUAUGGAUGGGGAUGCGUUCCAUUAGAUAGUUGGUGAGGUAACGGCUCACCAAGUCUUCGAUGGAUAGGGGUUCUGAGAGGAAGGUCCCCCACAUUGGUACUGAGACACGGACCAAACUCCUACGGGAGGCAGCAGUGAGGAAUAUUGGUCAAUGGGCGAGAGCCUGAACCAGCCAAGUAGCGUGAAGGAUGACGG
rnacentral:rRNA from 1 species